GAGUUUGAUCCUGGCUCAGAUUGAACGCUGGCGGCAUGCCUUACACAUGCAAGUCGAACGGCAGCACGGGAGCUUGCUCCUGGUGGCGAGUGGCGAACGGGUGAGUAAUGCAUCGGAACGUAUCCUGGAGUGGGGGGAUAACGUAGCGAAAGUUACGCUAAUACCGCAUAUUCUGUGAGCAGGAAAGCGGGGGACCUUCGGGCCUCGCGCUCUUGGAGCGGCCGAUGUCGGAUUAGCUAGUUGGUGAGGUAAAGGCUCACCAAGGCGACGAUCCGUAGCAGGUCUGAGAGGAUGAUCUGCCACACUGGAACUGAGACACGGUCCAGACUCCUACGGGAGGCAGCAGUGGGGAAUUUUGGGACAAUGGGGGCAACCCUGAUCCAGCCAUGCCGCGUGAGUGAAGAAGGCC
rnacentral:rRNA from 1 species